ensembl:snRNA U4 U4 spliceosomal RNA
UAACUUAUGCAGUGGCAGUAUUGUAGCCAAUGAGGUUUAUACGAGAUGCAAUUAUUGCUAAUUAAAAACUAAUUUUAGUU